AACCAGAAUGCUUGGUUGUAUAGGGAGAGGUAUUAGCAGUAGAAAGAGGGAAGUGCUCAUGCCAUUGUACAGAACACUGGUGAGACCUCACUUGGAGUAUUGUACACAGUACUGGAGACCGUAUCUUCAGAAGGAUAUUGAUACCUUAGAGAGGGUUCAGAGAAGGGCUACUAAACUGGUUCAUGGAUUGCGGGAUAAAACUUACCAGGAAAGGUUAAAGGAUCUUAACAUGUAU